GACGGUACUUGUACUGAUUGAGAUUUUAACACGAAGUGAGUGGCGAACGGGUGAGUAACACGUGGGUAACCUGCCCAGAAGUAGGGGAUAACACCUGGAAACAGAUGCUAAUACCGUAUAACAGAGAAAACCGCAUGGUUUUCUUUUAAAAGAUGGCUCUGCUAUCACUUCUGGAUGGACCCGCGGCGUAUUAGCUAGUUGGUGAGGUAAAGGCUCACCAAGGCAGUGAUACGUAGCCGACCUGAGAGGGUAAUCGGCCACAUUGGGACUGAGACACGGCCCAGACUCCUACGGGAGGCAGCAGUAGGGAAUCUUCCACAAUGGACGCAAGUCUGAUGGAGCAACGCCGCGUGAGUGAAGAAGGGUUUCGGCUCGUAAAGCUCUGUUGUUAAAGAAGAACGUGGGUAAGAGUAACUGUUUACCCAGUGACGGUAUUUAACCAGAAAGCCACGGCUAACUACGUGCCAGCAGCCGCGGUAAUACGUAGGUGGCAAGCGUUAUCCGGAUUUAUUGGGCGUAAAGCGAGCGCAGGCGGUCUUUUAAGUCUAAUGUGAAAGCCUUCGGCUCAACCGAAGAAGUGCAUUGGAAACUGGGAGACUUGAGUGCAGAAGAGGACAGUGGAACUCCAUGUGUAGCGGUGAAAUGCGUAGAUAUAUGGAAGAACACCAGUGGCGAAGGCGGCUGUCUGGUCUGCAACUGACGCUGAGGCUCGAAAGCAUGGGUAGCGAACAGGAUUAGAUACCCUGGUAGUCCAUGCCGUAAACGAUGAUUACUAAGUGUUGGAGGGUUUCCGCCCUUCAGUGCUGCAGCUAACGCAUUAAGUAAUCCGCCUGGGGAGUACGACCGCAAGGUUGAAACUCAAAAGAAUUGACGGGGGCCCGCACAAGCGGUGGAGCAUGUGGUUUAAUUCGAAGCUACGCGAAGAACCUUACCAGGUCUUGACAUCUUCUGACAGUCUAAGAGAUUAGAGGUUCCCUUCGGGGACAGAAUGACAGGUGGUGCAUGGUUGUCGUCAGCUCGUGUCGUGAGAUGUUGGGUUAAGUCCCGCAACGAGCGCAACCCUUAUUACUAGUUGCCAGCAUUAAGUUGGGCACUCUAGUGAA
rnacentral:rRNA from 1 species